rnacentral:rRNA from 1 species
UACGAAGGGGGCUAGCGUUGCUCGGAAUCACUGGGCGUAAAGCGCACGUAGGCGGACUCUUAAGUCGGUGGUGAAAUCCUGGAGCUCAACUCCAGAACUGCCUCCGAUACUGCGAGUCUCCGAGUCCGGGAGAGGUGAGUGGAACUGCGAGUGUAGAGGUGAAAUUCGUAGAUAUUCGCAAGAACACCAGUGGCGAAGGCGGCUCACUGGCCCGAUACUGACGCUGAGGCACGAAAGCGUGGGGAGCAAACAGG